CUUCUUCUCUGUUUGUAUAUGAAGAAGAAAUGGUUGGCUUACAAAUCACUUGAGCACCAAGAGCUUCGGCGCCCAACUAUUGAAGAAGACUCAGGCUGAUGGAGCUGUCCCAAACAAGAUGUUUCAGAUGGAUUUUUUUCAUAUGAUAUCAGGGAUGUUGGGUGAUUGGGUGAACAAACUUUUCGUGGAACAUCCAGAUCCUUGCAGCGGUGCCUCCGGUCAACAUUGCCAAUGCCAUGAUUGUGGUUAAUACCCACGGGAGAUUUUAUUCCUACGUGCUGAUUAAAUAGAGCUGAGUAAACAUCAUCCAUAGGACAUGCAUGUGCUGAUUAACUUUAGAGUCGAAAGUGGUUCUUUAUUCUGUUCAAACGCUGACCGGAUCAGGUGCACCUUUAGGCUCUAUGCUAAGCGCCAACAACAAAUUCUUAUUUUCAGCGGGAUUGUAUACUGGACCGAGGUUCUACAGGAGGUGGGUUCGCUUGGACUAUUAUGUGAAGCAGUGUAAACACAGUUGUCAACACACUCAGGAAUUCGAUAGUGGAAAGUGGUCUAACUUUCAGAAUUUGGAGCUCUGACGUGGAAGAUUUUUUGAGGGCAAUCUAGAAUAAUUACCUUGGCAGAUUAUGUGCAUGGAAAAGGUAAUGGCCUGUAUGAGACUAGAUUGAGUUGUUUGUUCAGUGAGGAAAGGAAAAACAAAUGAGCCACUGCAAUGUUCUCUAUAGCCAAGGAACAAGAGGUCAAAGAUAGAGCUCUGAUGUAUUGAUAGAGAUGAUAUAAAAAUUAUCUCUUGAAGUGAGCCACAAACAUUGAAAGUAGCAUUAUCAAGAGUAUGCAUCAACCAUCAUGCAUGAAUUCAUACGAUCAUUGAACAAACAACUCAAUUUAAGAGAAUAUUGUUCCUUGGCUAUAGAGAACAAACAACUCAAUUCAUACAAUCUAUACUGUCGAGUCUCUGAAGUGCCGUGUUCUGCUACAAUAUUAUCUUAAAUAUGUGCAAUGAAUCUAUUUUCCCGUUGCAACGCGCGGGCAUUUUUUGCUAGUAUGUUUUAUUUAUUUAUUAGACUCCCCUAAUCUAUGUUUCUCGGCCAUUCAAUUGUGAUCGUAGGAACAAGAUAGCCAGCUAAUUUUUUUAAAUAAUACAUUUUUUUUAAAAAAAUUACAGAAAUAAUACGCAAAAAAAGAUUUUUCAAAAAUAAUACACCAUCGGCCUACUGCAGGCCGACAGAGCCCAGUCGGCCCACAGCAGGCCGACUGGAGGCCCAUCAGUUAGCUGCUGGCCGAUUGGGCUGUCGGCCAGCAGAUUCAAGCCCAGUCGGCCUGCAGUUGACCGACAGGGCCCAGUCGGCCUGCAGUACACCGAUAGGCCUGUAGUGGGCCGACUAUGCUCAGUUGGCCUGCUGUGGGCCGACUGGUGCAUGCCUAUUUUUAAUAAUACACGCGAAUAUUUAUUAAAAGUAUAUAUUUUAACACGUUAUGAAUACAUGGUAACAUUUCUUCAAAUACAUUUUUAAUGGAAAUACCAUUUUUUUAAACCACACAACAUUUUUUAAAAUGCUUUUCUGAAAUUUUCACAAACUUUUUUUAGAAACACGCGAAUAUUUUCUUAAAAUGUCAUGAUCCAUCUAAACAUUUGUUAACCCACGUGAUAUGUGAGUAUAUUGAUUGUAAUAUCAUCUUAUAUUAUGGGAUGAAGGGAGUACCAUUUUGUAGAAUGUCAUGGAUAUUUUUUGGAAACACGAGAAUAUUUCCAGCAAAGGUGACGUACAUUC